rnacentral:tRNA from 1 species
CGGUGCGUGGCUCAGCUUGGUAGAGCACUGUGUUAGGGACGCAGGGGUCGCAGGUUCAAAUCCUGUCGCACCGA